GGGAUCUGGCUGCUUCUGUCUUUUCUGGUGCUGGAGCAGUAGAGGGAGGAUUCCCAUGGAAGCAGCUGUGUCAAGUCUCAGCUGGCUGUGGAGGGAGAUGCCCCCAGCCCUGGCAUAUCAGCCUGGGGAAGGGCAGCCGUGCCCAGGAGCAGGAGGUGCUGGGAGCCCAUCCCUGCCAGAGGAGCAAACUCAAAGGCAAGUCUGAUGGAGAGAGGAGAUCCUGCUCCUGUGCUGUCUGGCAGCAAAAACAUGUGAAUGAAGCUGUAAAAGCCCAGUGGUCCCAAAGAGGUGCCUGGUUUUGGCUGCUCCCUUCAUCAGCCUCCUCUGGGAAUCCUUGGCUCUCACCCCAGGAAAAAAGCCCCUGUGACUAGGCUGGAAGACAACACUUGCAGGCUCACCAGCCCUGCUGGAGGCCUCUAAACAUGCAAGGUGAUGAGUCCACCCCAGGGGAAGGUGUGGCAGCCAACAGUUACA